UGGCACGUCAGAGUGACUGUGAUUUGUAGAGAAUGUUCAUAUCACAGCCAGCUUUGAUGAGCUUCA
rfam:Biomphalaria glabrata isolate BB02 linkage group LG6 unlocalized genomic scaffold LG6_random_Scaffold1244, whole genome shotgun sequence.